rnacentral:rRNA from 1 species
CAGUAGCCACGGGAAUACGUAGGUGGCGAGCGUUGUCCGGAAUUACUGGGCGUAAAGCGUGCGCAGGCGGUUGUGUAAGACAGGUGUGAAAUCCCCGGGCUUAACCUGGGAACUGCGCUUGUGACUGCACAGCUAGAGUAUGGCAGAGGGGGGUGGAAUUCCACGUGUAGCAGUGAAAUGCGUAGAGAUGUGGAGGAACACCAGUGGCGAAGGCGACUCUCUGGUCUGUAACUGACGCUGAGGAGCGAAAGCGUGGGGAGCGAACAGGAUUAGAUACCCCCGUAGUCCCUGUCUCUUAUAC